AUUGAACGCUGGCGGCAGGCCUAACACAUGCAAGUCGAACGAGUGGCGGACGGGUGAGUAAUGUCUGGGAAACUGCCUGAUGGAGGGAGAUAACUACUGGAAACGGUAGAUAAUACCGCAUACCAUCAGAUGUGCCCAAAUGGGAUUAGUAAGUUGGUGGGGUAACGGCUCACCAAGGCGACGAUCCCUAGCUGAUCUGAGAGGAUGACCAGCCACAGUGAGACUGAGACACGGUCCAGAUGCCUACGGGAGGCAGCAGUAGGGAAUAUUGCACAAUGGGCGCAAGCCUGAUACAGCCAUGCCGCGGGUAUGAAGAAGGCCUUCGGGUUUUAAAGUACUUUCAGCGGGGAGGCGUUACCCGCAGAGGAAGCACCGGCUAACUCCGUGCCAGCAGCCGCGGUAAUAC
rnacentral:rRNA from 1 species